UACGUAGGGCGCAAGCGUUAUCCGGAAUUAUUGGGCGUAAAGAGCUCGUAGGCGGUUUGUCGCGUCUGCCGUGAAAGUCCGGGCUCAACUCCGGAUCUGCGGUGGGUACGGCAGACUAGAGUGAUGUAGGGAGACUGGAAUUCCUGGUGUAGCGGUGAAAUGCGCAGAUAUCAGGAGGAACACCGAUGGCGAAGGCAGGUCUCUGGCAUUAACUGACGCUGAGGAGCGAAAGCAUGGGAGCGAACAGG
rnacentral:rRNA from 1 species